rnacentral:snoRNA from 1 species
GGUCUGUGGUGGUAUCGGCAUGUAUUAUCUGAGCAUAAAUCUGAUCAGUUCAGCUCUGGAAUUGCUCUGAGACCUA